rnacentral:rRNA from 1 species
UACGUAGGGCGCAAGCGUUAUCCGGAAUUAUUGGGCGUAAAGGGCUCGUAGGCGGUUUGUCGCGUCGGGGAGUGAAAUCAUCUGGCUUAACUGGGUGCUUGCUUUCGAUACGGGCAGACUAGAGGUAUGCAGGGGAGAACGGAAUUCCUGGUGUAGCGGUGAAAUGCGCAGAUAUCGAGAGGAACACCUGCGGCGAAGGCGGGUAGCUGGGCCGACACUGACGUGAGGCGCGAAAGCCAGGGGAGCGAACGGG